ensembl:lncRNA
CUCAGGAACAAAACUCUCACUGUUAGGCAUGCCACUGCAGACUACACGGGAACAUAUAGGUGUAGUUACAAGAAUCAAACCAACCUGUACUCCCAGAUUCACAUCUAUGUUAAAGAUCCAGGCCAACCCUUCACUACUCCUCGGUCCAGCGUUGUAGUAGAGCGGGAAGGCUCGGACUGCCUGCUGGAUUGUAUGCCUACAGACCCUGGUGCCACAGACUUCUCCCUCUGCUUGGCCAACCGAUCCACUGUUCCUCUGGAGAUGAAGUAUACUGCCAAUCCCACAGAGGGCAUCUGGAUCCGAGACCUGCGCCCCCACUAUAGUGGCGACUAUGUCUGUACCGUGAAUCUAAACUCACUCCAGAGGGUGUCUGUAGUCUUCCAAAUCACCGUCAUCGAAAUGAAGCUCCCUCCCUCUGUGUUUACUGAAGUGGGGGAGUUGGUUCGCAUCGUUGGGGAAAGUCUGCAGAUCAGCUGCUAUGUCACAAAUCCAGACCAUUCCUACCAUGUCACAUGGCAGCAUUCAUCCAAGAAGGUAAAAUUAUUUCCUUACUCUGACUUACACCAGAACCCAGUUCUCAUCACGAGUGUUUUGACUCUCUGUGACGUCAGCAUGUCUGACAGUGGGAACCUGAGCUGUAUAGGCAACAACUCAGCAGGAGAGAACCGUUCCACAGUCUCUCUCAGAGUAGUAGAUAAACCGUACGCUCACCUGACGCCUGCGCAGACGUCCAGAGUUCUGCGGCAAGGUCUUGUGCGAGUGCUGCAGGAAGGAGAUCUGCUGAAGCUGGCGGUGUGUGUGGAUGCAUACCCUGCACUUCAGCACAGCUGGUGGGACACACCCAGAGCCCAGAACAAGUCCACUACAGAGCAAACCUUCUACAGGGUUCAGAAGAGUUACAGGUACAAUGCCUCCCUCUCACUGAAGAGGGUUCGAGCAGAUGAAGGGGGGUGGUACACCUUCAGUGUCAGGAGCAGCAGAGUAAACACUUCCAUCCGCUUUGAGGUCCACGUGCUUCGUAAGUCCACACCAUUUGCUACACACAGUUUCAGUAAUGCUGUUGUCUUAGAUAUUGGUACUACGAUGCCUGAACACUGGUUUUCAAGGAUAUACACGGCUAUCUUCAUCGGAAGCUCAAUGGUGACCACUCUCCUGGUACUGGUGCUGGGAGUUUGUAUCUGCAGGUGGAAACAGAAACCCAGAUAUGAAAUCAGAUGGAAAAUCAUAGAAGUUAAUGAUGGGAAUAAUUACACAUACAUUGACCCUUCUCAGCUUCCAUACAACACAAAGUGGGAAUUCCCCCGUGACAGGCUGAGAUUUGGACGGGUCCUGGGAGCAGGGGCCUUUGGGAAAGUUGUAGAGGCCACAACCUACGGUCUGGACGAUGAGGAACGUGUCACUCGCGUGGCCGUGAAAAUGCUUAAAUCGAGCGCUCAUGCAGAAGAACGUGAAGCCCUCAUGUCAGAGCUGAAGAUCCUGAGUCAUCUGGGGCCGCACGCCAACAUCGUGAACCUCCUUGGAGCAUGCACCCACGGAGGACCUGUGCUGCUUAUAACAGAGUACUGCUGUAACGGUGACCUGCUGAACUUCCUGCGGAGAAGAGCCCAGCUGUUUGUGGACUCACUUGUCCAGGCUCAACACUUCUCCCAGGCCUAUGCAAACCUGCCCGUCCAGGAGAACAGCACGAGACAGCUGGGUUUUACCGGUCUACUCUUCCUCUACAGCUAUCAGGACAUGCGUCCCGCAUGCAGACCCAAGGACGCCGCCGCAGGAUCCUGUAAUGGAGGAGGGAAUGGUUUAGACAUGGACUGUUUGCUGAGAUUUGCUGGUCAGGUGGCCCAAGGAAUGGAUUUCCUUGCAUCCAAAAAGUGUAUUCACAGGGAUCUGGCUGCGAGGAACGUCCUCGUGACUGACUGCUUUAUUGCCAAGAUCUGUGACUUUGGCCUUGCACGAGACAUCAUGAAUGACUCCAAUUACGUCGUGAGAGGAAAUGCCCGGCUGCCAGUUAAGUGGAUGUCUCCUGAGAGCAUAUUUGAGUGUGUCUACACUGUGCAGAGUGAUGUAUGGUCCUAUGGAAUCCUACUAUGGGAGAUCUUUUCUCUUGGUAGAAGUCCUUACCCAGAUGUGGUGGUUGACACACGAUUCUAUGAAAUGAUCAAAAGCGGAUAUCACAUGUCACAACCAGAUUUUGCCCCUAAAGAGAUGUACACCAUAAUGAAGCAAUGCUGGAGUCUGGAGCCAAACCUGCGGCCGCCCUUCAGCCGAGUCCUGCAGCUUAUCACAAAGCUCCAGCCAGAGAUGCAGGACUCCAACACUGACCAAGUAAGAUGGAUCACCCCUGAACAUGAAGACCUGUGUCACCAAACACCAUGCCAUGAAAACGCUCAGCUUCUAACAAAGCCAGAAUAUUACCAGCUGUGCUGA